rnacentral:rRNA from 1 species
UACGUAGGGUGCGAGCGUUGUCCGGAAUUACUGGGCGUAAAGAGCUCGUAGGUGGUCUGUUGCGUCCGCUGUGAAAACCCAGGGCUUAACCCUGGGCUGGCAGUGGAUACGGGCAGACUAGAGGUAGGUAGGGGAGAAUGGAAUUCCCGGUGUAGUGGUGAAAUGCGCAGAUAUCGGGAGGAACACCGGUGGCGAAGGCGGUUCUCUGGGCCUUACCUGACACUGAGGAGCGAAAGCGUGGGGAGCGAACAGG